GUGUCAGCCGCCGCGGUAAUACGAGGGGGGCUAGUGUUGUUCGGAAUCACUGGGCGUAAAGGGAGCGUAGGCGGGAGCCUAAGUUGGGUGUUUAAUUCCGGGGCCCAACCCCGGGCAUGCACUCAAAACUGGGUUUCUUGAAUAGGGGAGAGGUCGGUGGAAUUGGAGGUGUAGCGGUGGAAUGCGUAGAGAUCUCCAAGAACACCCGUUGCGAAGGCGGCCGACUGGACCCAUAUUGACGCUGAGGCUCGAAAGCAUGGGGAGCAAACAGGAUUAGAUACCCUGGUAGUCCAUGCCAUAAACGAUGAAUACUAGGUUUUGGGCCCGUCAACGGUCCAGAGCCGUAGCUAACGCGUUAAGUAUUCCGCCUGGGGAGUACGCUCGCAAGAGUGAA
rnacentral:rRNA from 1 species